ACAGAGACUGCAAGCGUUAUUCGGAUUCACUGGGCGUAAAGGGCGCGUAGGCGGCGUGGUAAGUCAGCUGUGAAAUCUCCGUGCUUAACUCGGAACGGUCAGCUGAUACUGCUGUGCUAGAGUACAGAAAGGGCAAUCGGAAUUCUUGGUGUAGCGGUGAAAUGCGUAGAUAUCAAGAGGAACACCUGAGGCGAAGGCGGGUUGCUAGGCUGAUACUGACGCUGAGGCGCGAAAGCUAGGGUAGCAAACGGGA
rnacentral:rRNA from 1 species